rnacentral:lncRNA from 12 species
GUGAAAAACCCAUAGUGACAAUACAGCACCAGCAUAAAGAGUAAUGAAAGGAAUUCUAAACAUUUUGCUUAAGAAGAGUUAAUAAGUUUAAAGCACCAUGAUCUUACAUGCAACUGUUCUGAAGUCUUUUUGACACAGGAAGAGAUGUAUGGACACCUGCAAUGUUUGAUCUUGAUGCUCUGACAAGUAAUGAGUUGUUUCAGUAAGUGAAGAGUAAUGAGGAAAGUAAAUUUUGAACAUGAAAUUAUCUGAAUGACCAAGGCCAUACCUUAUAUAGACGGGGUGGCAUGGUAAACAUCUCUAACAGAAGUUAUAUGCCUCAUUUAACUUCCCACUGGAAACAUCUGAAGUGAGUUUUGUUUUAUCAUCCUGAUACUGUGCCAUUGACUACUCAGCUCACUAAGUAAGUGGGGUUCCUGAUUAAAUUUUGGUUUUGUUUGUUAGACUGGUUGGUUGGGAUAUUUUUCUUUCCCACAUGGAACGCAAACGUGAAGGCAAACACUCAUUUAUAUGACUUUGAGAAGUG